GGGUAACUCCUACUGUACCUUUAUCACUUGUAGGACUCGGUCACGCUGUGGGUACGAUAUUUGUACCUUAGACGCCAGUCGUCAGGGGUGUGAUGUGAGGCGGGGUUAGAUGCCCU
rfam:Paenibacillus selenitireducens strain ES3-24 ES3-24_scaffold5, whole genome shotgun sequence.